UGAUGAGAGAGACAGGCUCAAUCUGUCAUCAGAUAUAGAAAUUCAUAUUUAUUUUUUCUUGAAGUGUUAUACAUUUCAGCAAGCCCACACAAGGUUUCUGUGAGCACAAAAACGUGCAAAAUAUAGAAAGUCCAGAACAUAGUCUGUUAUGUUACAAAAAUAUUACACAGCACUUUUAAGAUAGUGUUCUUAAUGCAUGCUUUUGAAGCAGUCAUUGUUUAAAUCUCUAGCAGAUUGUAAUAUUCAAUAUUCAAUAUUUAAAUAAGGUCAUUCUAUAUGUGGGCUAAGUAUAUAUCAACACCUUGCAGGAAAGUAGGUAAAUAUACGUCGGUGCUUUCUUACUCAUGAAAAUUUUUAUAUGGAAUGAUAUAUGCAACUAAGAGUGCUAUUAGCAACAAAAAUAUGACACAAAAGUAAACAAUUUGCAUGCAGAAAACAUACUUGUCCAAGGCACUUCUAGGUGUGCAUUAUUUGUCAUUGAGCAUAAAAUGUCCACAUUGUUGAGUUCAGUGAUUGAAAUUAGCAUUCCAAAUGAUUAAUUUGCCCUGUUCAUCUUAACAUGUAAAAAGAAAGUACAAGAUUAAUAACAUUUCUUGAAUAAGACAUCAAUAUAUCACAGGCCAAGACUCGGUGUUCGCAAUGCACAAAUUCAUUACAGUUAAUGUUAAAACAUGCUUCCACCAUCAAUACAGAGUGCAUUAAAAAGUAAAAGUUUUGUUCAAGCAAAACAGCAUGCAGGUUGCUUGCAUUUGCUAAAUCAUGUGCUGUGUUACAAUAUUGCUGCCGCUGGUAAACAUCUAAAAAGCAGUGCUUGCAUGUGCUACACAGCUCUUAGAAUAUGUGGUAUUUGUAUUCAUUGUACCGAUACAUAACCUGUCUCUUCACCCAUGGAUUGAAAUGGAUUGAAAUGGAAAUCACCAUUGGAUUGAAAUGCACUAUCACUGUUUCUGCUUCCAGCAUCAGCUAUGAUAUGCCAGUACAUACGUUAACAGAAAGCUAUGACAGCACCACCUUCAGAGGUCGGAAUUUCGUUGGGUAACAACUGAUUAUGUGCAAGCAUUGUCAUGUGUUUGGGCUCGCUAUCCAUAGUAUUUAAGUCAUAGCCUCGUAUCAAAAGUACAAAAACGCAAGGUGUACAAUACACACCUCUCAAAAAUACAGUAGGUUGGCUUACUGGCAUGGCCGCAUCACCCAACAUAUGAUCAAAGUUGUUACCAACAAAACAGUGCAUCGGUACACACUUCAAUAAGAAA
rnacentral:lncRNA from 1 species